CUCGAACAUCCAGCCCUAUCAAAAGUUUAGAUUGGGCCUCUACUUAGGAUGGCUGGCCUUCUGCUUGAAGCUUGGCAGCAAAACACUGGCGAUCCUUGGCCUGAUUGCCUCAGAUCUGCCCUACUCCAUUCUUAGUUGGAAACUUCACCAUUAAGUGAUAGCUCGACACUACGGCCUUUAAAGUCCAUAAACUUGGAUGGCCAAGGAUUGUAUUGUAGGCCGAAGGAAGUUUAAACAUCAGAAAGUUGACUUGGAUCAUUGUUCGCUGUGGUGGGGU
rnacentral:lncRNA from 1 species